UACAGAGGUCUCAAGCGUUGUUCGGAUUCAUUGGGCGUAAAGGGUGCGUAGGUGGCGCGGUAAGUCGGGUGUGAAAUUUCGGAGCUUAACUCCGAAACUGCAUUCGAUACUGCCGUGCUUGAGGACUGGAGAGGAGACUGGAAUUUACGGUGUAGCGGUGAAAUGCAUAGAUAUCGUAAGGAAGACCAGUGGCGAAGGCGGGUCUCUGGACAGUUCCUGACGCUGAGGCACGAAGGUCAGGGGAGCAAACGGG
rnacentral:rRNA from 1 species